AGCUCCACCUCCGCUGUUCUUGCGGCUGUGUGUCCUCUUGGAGUCGAGGAACCCUUCGAGGGACAACUCACGCGUUACUAAACUUUUAUGAAUCGUAUUCGACUGUUUCGGUCGGUGAAAGAUGAAAAUUUCUGAUAGCACGCAACAGGUAUCAUCGUUCGGCUAAACGAAGCGAGACGGUGGUCGUAACGACUUCUAUCUUUUUCGGAGCUGACAAGUUUUUUUUUUUUUUUUUUUUUUCAACGGAGCUAUCCGAAAAUAAUAUUCCACGAUUGAGACAAAAAAUCUGAUUAUGCAUGCAUGCCAUGUGCGAGCGUGUAAAAUGUAUGUACUUACCGUAGAAGUUUAAGUCACGUUUGUGUAAUUUUACUUCGUUAAACUACGCGAUGCAUUAUGGUGAAUUUAAAAUUGCAAUUUUUGCAAAUUGAAUAAAGCGUGGUAAUUUUUCUAUCGAGAUAAUUGUUUACACCUCCUAUACCGGAUAUCGUUUUAACAAAGUCUGACACUUACGUAUUUGAAAAGAAACUUUAGCGAAAUUGUGUUACAUUAGGUAUCGGAAUGAAACGAACCGUACAAUGCCUUAAUAAUUUGUAAAAGAAAGACUUUGCGAGUGAAUAAAAUGUAAACUCAUUUCAUGAAAGUAGAUGCGAACUUAACAGUACCAGAUGUAUUUCAGAUUCGUCCGACUAAAUUGGAAUGUUAAUGUUGCGUAUUGACAUUGACACUGAUAACACAGGCGCGUUUGAUAUCAGUUGAGUGAAAUGUUGGAAGAUGAAAUUCUAUUCAAUUCUGCGGUAAGUUCUACGAUUCGGUAUGAAGAAUUAGCGUUAAGAAAUGAGGACAGGGAAUCGUGACAAACGUAACAAUAACAUUUAAAUAAUCGCUUAAAGCAGUAAUGCGCAACCUGAAGGCUCCACAAAUUUCUCAAAUAUUUGUUGAUUCUACCGUCGUUAUUGUUUUACAAGGUGAUACACGGGUACUGUUUUCUUACGAAGCUUUGACACGCAAUAGUUCGAGCAGCUACAAUCGGAAAGUGAAAUGCUACUAUAACCGCGAGAAUGUUCCGACCAGGGAUAGAGAAAUUACGUGUGUGAAAGGCCUUUGCCAAUAAAUG